rnacentral:tRNA from 1 species
GUUCUCGUAGCUCAGCUGGAUAGAGCACCACCCUCCUAAGGUGGGUGUCAUGCGUUCAAAUCGCAUCGAGAACACCA